UUGGACGCCAAAAAAAUGUCAAAGCCUUGUAUUUGUCUCGGAACCGGUGUUAAAGUUGGCUUUGGACGUAGGAGUUUGCCAGAGACGUCGUUUGCGUGGCGGUUUCAUUUGCACAAACUGCCAGGGUGAGGAGCGUGCCCCUGCGCUACUUUACCAAGUUCCGCUGCCAUUGCUCAUGCAGGGAAGUGCAUAUAAUGUGACGAAUUCCAGGUAACAAUCAUGAAAAACGCCAUCUUUUUUAAUCUCUUUAAUUACCCACUAGCACUCUCAAUUGUGAGAAUAACUUAGGCUGAGCCGAAUAUAUUUUUGUGAUCUUUUUACGUUAUGAACAGAGUUGUAAAAUGCAAAACAUGGUCUUUUUGCAGUUUCUUUAUCAGUUCCAAGCUGACAGUUCUCGGUCAGUAAUGCUUCUGCAACAUUGUAAAAUUUGAAUUAUAUAAUUUCAAUUGAUCCCCUUUGCAUUUUGCAAUGCACAUUAUGUGCUGCAGUUUAAAGCUACAAGACAAUAUCCUGAUCAAUAUCAGUAUGGUUGAGGGAAACUGCAGGCAGUUUUGAGCUUAAAUUGAAACCUGUUACUCACCCAGAAAGAGGAUAUUAAGUAUUUCGGAGGCAUUGGGUAUUCGGAAUUGAUGGCUGAGAGUGGAUUAUUCAGGUAGACCUGGCUCAAAUUUUUUAAACGAGUUCUGCAUUAUAUGGUUUUCUCAAGUUGAUUUUGAAGCUUAUUUUGUGAAAGACUAUGGUUACAAAUCCUAGUUCAUACAUUUUUCUCAAGUGAACAAGCAUGAGUUCAAGAUAGUUAGCUGAAUUAUUUGUCAGUAAGUUUUUGUGAUUAAAUUACUUUCUUCUCCUUUCAUUACCCUCAAUAACAUCAUCAGCAUUGUCAUCUUCUUUUUACUUUCCCUUCACUUCCAUGGGAUUAGAUAUUUUGAAGUUAAACACUAAAAACUAUUUCAAACAGCCUUAAGAAGCUCAAAAUUUAUUUCUAGAAGAAGCACUAAUGAAAUCCUCAAACUGAUUUACAUUAUCAUUUUAUCCCAUUAUGCGAAGUCUUUGGGAACUUAUGAAUCACAAAGUCUGAUUUAAAACUGGGAACAGAUUGAUGAACAUGUAAACAUGGCAUUUCAUUAUAAAGGAACAGGACUGGUGUAGAUUCCCUUUCUAUUAUGAAAUGGAAUUUGAAUUGGUCUUUACAAAUGAAGGAUCAUUUCACUGUUUCUUUUUGGCUUCAUAUAAAAGAAUAAUUGAACAAUCCCCCCUGCAUAAGAACUUAUAAACCACUUCUCUCUAACAUUAGCUUGGACCUAAUCUGGGAAUGGCUUUCUAUUGUGUGACCAACAUUGUUUCAAACUUUCAUGCAACUUACACAAAACACUCACUUUUUUUUUAUCCUUGGACGUCAGAUAAAUAGAUCAAUACUAUAUAGUUUGCAAACUUUUUCAUGUAGUGUACUCUGAUCCAUUGGAGACUGAUCAUAGUGUGCUACUUCAUAUUCUAUGAUUGGUGUAACUCGUGCCUUUUACUGCUUAAUUUCAUUUUUAGCAUAUACCUAGACUUUUGGUUCAAAACUAAGAUUGUUGAUUCUCUUACUGACUAUGGAAUGUUACCAUGAUCGUACUCUCUCUCUCUCUCUCUCUCUCUCUCUCUCUCUCUCUCUCUCUCUCUCUCUCUCUCUCUCUCUCUCUCUCUCUCUCUCUCUCUCUCAGGCUGCAUGUAGAUUUAUGUUUCUCAAGGCAGUGAAUGCUAGCUUGAUGGCUAGACUACAUUUAGUUUUAGAUAAUAGGGCAUGCUUGUAAAUUUGAAUAUUUUCAGGUAGUGGUUUUUCAAUUUCAUGGUCAGAAAUGUUAACAAAAUAACACAUAAAGAAGUCAUGCAUGAUGAAUUCAUUGCAGCUUACCCCAUUUGUCAUUAUACCACAAAAGUUUUGGCCACCAUUGGAUGGAUUUAACGUUACAUUCUAGAUGAUUGACAGCUAAUUGAUGCAGGUAACUGUUGACCGAUGAUUGACAGCUAUAGACUGGACUCUUGUAGGCGUUAUCGCUUUGAUGGACAGCUAUAGACCAGACUUAGGCAGGUGUUAUCACCUAAAGCUUUCGGUUACAUGCAGUUCACUGGAUCGCCCCUAUAAAAAGGCUCAGAGUCUCUUCUAAAACUCAUCCAGUACAACUUAAUCCUUCAGUUUCAUUUCUUUUAGUUUUAUGAAAGUUUCUUUUCUUCUUGUAGUACUAGAAGUUUUCCACAUAGGAAUACCAACAUAGCGAUGGUUGUAAGCUCAAUUGAUUCUGAUGGAAACCCUUCCUCAUCAGAGUGGCUUUCCCUGAUGGACCUGACUGCAUCUUUGGUCCUCAGGAUCUGGUCAAACAGAUUACAAACAAGCCAGACAUGGCAUCAAGAUGACAAUCCCCUUCCAUUAACGACCACCUUGAGACUUGAGUUGGUUCAAAAUGAGAAGUCAUUCGUCAUUGAAGCACAAAUUUCAUCAAUCAAGAGUUGCUCUUUUUUACUCACAUUCCAAACAUUAUCACAAUCUUUUACUCACAUUCCUAACAUUAUAUGAACCAGGUUUUAAAAACCUUUAAACACCAACAGCAAACACUGUAAACCCCCUAACCCUUUUCCUUGAAAUCAAUACUUACAACCCAGCCACUCCAACCGCGUGUAUAGCCCUUGGGAUGCUGCAGAGGAAUCCGGCUGCUUUUUGAAGGGUGACCAUGAAUAUAUGGUGAUUUGUGGUUGCUUGUUUCCUCUGCAGAGUAAGCCCAAGUCUCGCCCACAUGUUUACCAUGGGGCGCCAAGUCUCACACACACAUUCCCUCCCUAGAAUGGCUGUCACUCCAUUCCUUUCCUAGGAUGGCUGUCGCUCCAUUCCUCCCCUCUGCAUGGCCGCAUAGCCUCUGCAGACUAACCUCACAAACUGGAAACAAACUCACCACCUUUUAAAAAAAAAGAAAAACAAAUAAACAUUCUGGCAGGCUAAUCUCUUCACAACCAUUAAUUUCUCCUUAUAUUCAUUUUGAUAAUAGCGAAACUUCAUUACACUCAUUUACACCAUGCACGCACCACUGACAUCCGCUGCAAUCAUUGCCAGUAUGAGGCAAGCAAAGACGGGUUGUCCUCAGACCUCCUAGUUCUCCUUCUAUGAACCAUUGAGAUUCCUUUCAGUACAUUAUCAACAAGCUUUUAAAUUGUAAUGGUCGUUGGCACACCAGAUGGCGGAUGCCAAUGAUAUUUUCUAAUCCUUUCAUGAACUUUUUGUCACCCUCGAAAGAGAACAAUACACUCUGUUUAUGCAAAGUAGAAGCACCACGCUUUGGGUUCUACCUGUACAUGUAUUUAUUGAGUCCAUUUCGGUGACUGGAAGGCUACUGCAUUAAGAGAAAAUAGAGGAAGAGUUUUCAUGUUAGAUUUUCAGUGAUAACUUUGAAUUCUAACGCUGUACUGUUGCUGAGAACUUUCAUCACCCGAGACUGCCAUGUUUUAAAUUCAAGUGCUACUGCUUUGAACGUUGCAGCUGUUUAUGAUUCGAAUUCGAUUGUUGUUGCUGUCUGUUCAAAAUUCAAGCGCUGCUGAUUGGAACUGCUUGUACUGUUAACUUCCACAUCCAAAUUCUGUUCAUCCGCAGUUGCCGAGAUUGCUGUAGAAUUCUGGUUAACAAUCCUAUUUAGGAUGAUGUGGAACUGGAACACAGAUGAGACCUCAAAUGUUGCCUAUCAUCAUCAAUGAAGUCUCGGUCUGAAUAGAUGUUUACCUGCCUAGUAUAUGAAUGAAAACGCAAAUUUUUUUCCAAGUCAUCACAUGUAUUUUAUUGCAGGAGCCAAUCCUUCCCGAUGACGUUCUAAUGGCAACUCUUAUCUACUCCCUUGUAACUUCGUAACUUUUAAUCAUGUAAUAAUUGUAAAGCUGUUUGGUAUUUUCCAUUUUUUCGUAAUCUUUAGUGCCCAACUUCA